GAGUUUGAUCCUGGCUCAGGACGAACGCUGGCGGCGCGCUUAAUGCAUGCAAGUCGAACGGUGAAGCCCCUUCGGGGGCGGAAUAGUGGCGAACGGCUGAGUAACGCGUAAGUAACCUACCCCUGAGUGGGGAAUAACUCCGGGAAACCGGAGCUAAUACCGCAUAAUCCGUUGUGUCGCAUGGCAUAACGGCAAAGGUUUCGGCCGCUUGGGGAUGGGCUUGCGUUCUAUCAGGUAGUUGGUGAGGUAAGAGCUCACCAAGCCAAUGACGGAUAGCUGGUCUGAGAGGACGACCAGCCAGAGGGGGACUGCGACACGGCCCCCACUCCUACGGGAGGCAGCAGCAGGGAAUCUUGCGCAAUGGGCGAAAGCCUGACGCAGCGACGCCGCGUGCGGGAAGAAGGCCUUCGGGUUGUAAACCGCUUUUCUGAGGGAAGAGAAAGGACGGUACCUCAGGAAUAAGCCUCGGCUAACUACGUGCCAGCAGCCGCGGUGAUACGUAGGAGGCAAGCGUUGUCCGGAUUUACUGGGCGUAAAGGGCGUGUAGGCGGUACAGAAAGUCUUUGCUUAAAUAUCCCGGCUCAACUGGGAAAGUGGCAGAGAUACUUCUGAACUAGAGGGCAGUAGAGGAGAGCGGAAUUCCCGGUGUAGUGGUGGAAUGCGUAGAUAUCGGGAGGAACACCAGUGGCGAAAGCGGCUUUUUGGACUGUACCUGACGCUGAGGCGCGAAAGCGUGGGUAGCAAACCGGAUUAGAUACCCUGGUAGUC
rnacentral:rRNA from 1 species